rnacentral:rRNA from 1 species
AGAGUUUGAUCCUGGCUCAGAUUGAACGCUGGCGGCAGGCCUAACACAUGCAAGUCGAGCGGAUGAGGGGAGCUUGCUCCCUGAUUCAGCGGCGGACGGGGGAGUAAUGCCGAGGAAUCUGCCUGAUAGUGGGGGACAACGUUUCGAAAGGAACGCUAAUACCGCAUACGUCCUACGGGAGAAAGCAGGGGACCUUCGGGCCUUGCGCUAUCAGAUGAGCCUAGGUCGGAUUAGCUAGUUGGUGAGGUAACGGCCCACCAAGGCGACGAUGCAUAGCCGACCUGAGAGGGUGAUCGGCCACACUGGAACUGAGACACGGCCCAGACUCCUACGGGAGGCAGCAGUGGGGAAUAUUGCGCAAUGGGGGAAACCCUGACGCAGCGACGCCGCGUGGAUGAUGACGGCCCUAUGGGUUGUAAACUGCUUUUAUACACCAAGAAAAAUCCCCACGUGUGGGGACCCGACGGUACCUUACCAGAAAGCAUCGGCUAACUCCGUGCCAGCAGCCGCGGUAAUACGGAGGAUGCAAGCGUUAUCCGGAUUCAUUGGGUUUAAAGGGUGCGUAGGCGGCUUUUUAAGUCAGUGGUGAAAUCCUGCCGCUUAACGGUAGAAUUGCCAUUGAUACUGAAAAGCUUGAGUGCAGGAGAGGUAAGUGGAAUUCCUAGUGUAGCGGUGAAAUGCUUAGAUAUUACACAGAACACCAAUUGCGAAGGCAGCUUACUAAACUGAUACUGACGCUGAUGCACGAAAGCGUGGGGAGCGAACAGGAUUAGAUACCCUGGUAGUCCACGCCGUAAACGAUGCUCACUCGCUGUUUGCGAUACACAGCAAGCGGCCAAGCGAAAGCAUUAAGUGAGCCACCUGGGGAGUACGAUCGCAAGGUUGAAACUCAAAGGAAUUGACGGGGGCCCGCACAAGCGGAGGAACAUGUGGUUUAAUUCGAUGAUACGCGAGGAACCUUACCUGGGCUUAAAUGUAGAGCGACAGAUUGUGAAAGCAGUCCUUCUUCGGACGAUCUACAAGGUGCUGCAUGGUUGUCGUCAGCUCGUGCCGUGAGGUGUCGGGUUAAGUCCCAUAACGAGCGCAACCCUUAUCGUUAGUUGCCAGCGGGUCAUGCCGGGGACUCUAGCGAGACUGCCACCGUAAGGUGUGAGGAAGGUGGGGAUGACGUCAAAUCAGCACGGCCCUUAUGUCCAGGGCUACACACGUACUACAAUGGCCGAAACAAAGGGCAGCAACAUCGCGAGGAGAUGCUAAUCUCUAAAACCUAUCUCAGU